rnacentral:tRNA from 1 species
GGCCCCAUCGUCUAGUGGUUAGGACGUCGGGUUUUCAUCCCGGCAACAGGGGUUCGAUUCCCCUUGGGGCUG